rnacentral:rRNA from 1 species
UACAGAGGGGGCGAGCGUUGUUCGGAAUUACUGGGCGUAAAGGGCGCGUAGGCGGCCUCUUAAGUCGAACGUGAAAUCCCCGGGCUCAACCCGGGAACUGCGUCCGAUACUGGGGGGCUUGAAUCCGGGAGAGGGAUGUGGAAUUCCAGGUGUAGCGGUGAAAUGCGCAGAUAUCAGGAAGAACACCCGUGGCGAAGGCAGAUCUCUGGGCCGUAACUGACGCUGAGGAGCGAAAGCAUGGGGAGCGAACAGG